GAAGGAGCACCUGACUAGAUGUAUUUCUUGCUGAUUUAAUAAUGUUUUUUGAGAACCACAAGGAAGUAAAAGUGCUUUAUUCUGUAUUUGUCGAGACAGCGGUGCAUGGCUGUCUCAGGGAUAAUGUGGUCACUUUAGGGGUGACAUUAUUCAGGUCACUUGGGAGGAGGCUUUGUGAGGAAAUGCAAAUGUUCAAGUUGUGAAAGAAGACUGUGGAGAAGCUGGUAUAAAAGAAGAAGGUUCUCUCCAGUUCUCCUCUCACUUGGCUGAUUAACAAUCUGUUUUUCUCUCCGUUCACGAUGCAGCUUUAUGGAGCUCUGAUCCUGUUUAUGACUGUCUACAGCAUGUGGAUUAAGAUGUUAGACAUGCACAGCCACUGAUCCUAAAUCCUGCACUGACACCAAAUCUUGUCCUGUCAUCUUCAACCGCUGUUUCUCUCUCAGAAUAGAUGGUUAUAACAUGGUUACCAAGGGCUGCCAAACCUCCUUGGCAUGCAUAGGUGCCAUGGCUUGCUGGGAAGGGAACUUGCGUAACAGUGUCAUAUCAACUGGUCCCUGUGGCAUCCUCCUGCUGGUAUCUUCAGCCAUCAUCACACUCUUCCUGUGAGGCUCUGGGAGUAUGUUAUUUCCAUGCUGCACUUUUUUCUGACUCAAUUUGUACAACUGAAGAAGAAUAAAGAACUUCUCACUGCAAAAACUCAAUUUCUCAGUAAGGGAGAUAAUCCUACAUUUAGAUGUAAAAUCUAAAGUCUGACUUGUUUUGGGUAUGUUUUGGGUAUGGAUCUGAAUAUCUAGUGCUGACUAUUCAAGGCUGUUUGAUGUAGUUCAAGUAAAUGUCACUUGUCUAAAUUUGCAAUUUAAGCGUAUUUGGGGUAAUGUUGAGCUAUAGAAGAGACAUAUUUUACAGGACUUCCAGUAUGCUUUGACAUUUAUUUUAAACUGUCGUUUCAAGACAUAUACAUUUCAAGUUGUAUUCUAUUGUCUUGCAUUGUGGUAUAUUCAUAACUUUAUCUUGUAACAAACAUCUAAUUUCUUCAUCUUUUUCAACCUAUCACAUUCCACUGAUGAAAUAGUGCUUAAGAUAGUUUAUGAAUUUAAAUUUUGACCUGAUGAUUGUGCUUGAUCAAAAGUCAAGGAAUUCAUUGGGAUUCAUCCUCUGGGGACCAUGAAUAUCUGUGUCAAAUUGUAUCCCAAUGUAUCGAGUAGAUGUCAAUAUAUUUCACCAGAGAAGGGAAUACGUUUGUGGCGCUAGGGGAAAAGUCAAGGGAUUGUUUUAAGUCAUUCAGAUUCAUCCUCUGGGGACCAUGAAUCUCCUCUUUUGAAACCCCUCCAAUAUUCACUGGAUAACAUCAUUCCGCAUCAUUUUCAACUUAAACUAUCAUUUUAGAAGAUCACACUUUUUACAUACCACAAAACAUACUGUACUGUAUGUGGACAUGGUAAUCAUUCACUGCAACAUUUUAAGAAAAAGAAUGAAAUCCACACGGUGUCAUUUUGUAUCUCUGAGGGAGCAGAGUUUCAGAAAAAGACCAGAAGGCAAUUAAUGGGUUAUAUUGUCUUCUGCAGCAGCAAAUAAAUGCUGGAAAACAA